rnacentral:lncRNA from 1 species
UUAUAAACCAGCAAAUGAUUCAAAAACAUAAGUUUUUAAAAGGAGACCAUUUACAAUAAUAAUAGAAAUGGUAAUGAAUCUAGGAAUAAAUCUGGUCAAAGAUGGGCAAGCACCUCUGGAGAAAAUCAGAAAAUUCUAUGGAAACCAUUAAAGAGAGGCUAAAUAACGAGAAAUUGAUAGGAAGACAGUAUGUAAAAUCAAUUCUCCCCUCAAACUGACCUGUAGCAUUAAUGCAUGUCCAAUCAGAGGCACAUCAGGACUUUUUCGAGGAAACUGAGAAGUUGACUCUAAGAUGUAUGAAAGCACAAAGGGCCAAGAGAAGCCAAGACACUCCUGAAGAACACCUCUCAACCAGACAGCCAAACAGAGAGAGGGAACCGACUCUGGACCCAGACUCAUGCCUUAUGGAAACCUGACAUGUGACCAGAGACAGCACUGCUGAUCACUGGAGAAAGGAUCUUAGGCAAUAAAUGGUGUUUGGACCAUUGGCUGGCCAUCUGGAAAACCUACAAACGGAUCCCUGCUUCAUACCAGACAAAGACCAAUUCCACACGGAUUAAUGAUUUGAAUGUGAAAGACAAAACUUUCAAAGUUUCCCCCCAAAUUCUAGGAAAUACGAUUCUGACUUUGGGGUAGGCAAGGACCUUUUCUUUAAUAGACGCUUUUUAGGGCAGUUUUAGGUUUACAGCAAAAUUAAGUAGAAGGUACAGCGACUUCCCAGACCCCCAGCCCCAUUCACACACAGCCUCCCCCAUUAUCAACAUCCCCCACCGCACGGAUGACCCUGCGUUGACUCAUUAUUAUCCCCUAAAGUGCAGUUUACAUCAGGGUUCCCUCUUGGUGUCGUGCAUUCUCUGGGUUUGGACAAACGAAUAAUGACGUGUCCACCAUUACAGUACCAUACAGAAUACUUUCACUGCCCGAAAAUUCCUCUGUGCUCCUCAUCCCCCUGCCCCCCAACCCCUGGCAGGGCAAGGAUUUUCUAGAUGCCGAAGUUGCUAAGUACAAAAGAAAAGACUGACAAAUUUAACUGCAUUAAACUUAAGAACUUUCACUCAUCAAAGGACUCCAUAGAGAGAGUGAAAAGAUCUUAGACUGGAUCCUGGAUUGGGGAAAAAAGCUGCUCUAAAGCACAUUAGUGGAACAAAUGGCGGAAUGUCAAUAUAGCCUGUAUAUUAGACACGAGUAUUAUAUUAAUGUUAAACUACCUAAAUUUGAAAGUGGUUCUGUUACCGGCACAUUGGGUUCUUGUUGGCCCCCAGGAUGGAAAUCAAGAGAGACAACAAAGUGGAGUAGAAAAGUAAAAGUUGAUUAGCUCAUGCACAGGGCAAGGAUGAGGGAGCCGGUGCAGGAAGGAAAGGGGCAGAUGACUGGCUCGUUAUGGAGUGGGAUUGUGAGGCUUUUAUUAGGCAAAGGCUGGGGAGGAGGGCCCUGUCCUGGCCUGUAAGGGGGGGGUUGUCUUCUUGCACUUGUGCUGUUGCACUACAUGCCACCACACGCCCUGCGUGUAGCUUAGGAUGCUAGCACUCCGCCCCGAGUGUGAUUUUCAAUGUGGUGAUGUCGCUAGGCUCAGCUUCAGUCAGCUCCUGGGAGAGUCCUGAAGCUGCUGAACUUGGAUCCUGGCGGCCUCUAUCCGAUUCUCCCAGCUUGCCGAUUGAUUGGGGGCCUUAUCUUGUGAGGCCAGGGGCCUUGCAGACGGCUGUGUCUCUUUAGGCUGGUUCCUGUCUCAGUUCUGUAGGUACAGAAG